rnacentral:rRNA from 1 species
GAUGAACGCUGGCGGCAGGCUUAACACAUGCAAGUCGAACGCAUCCUUCGGGGUGAGUGGCAGACGGGUGAGUAACACGUGGGAACGUACCUCUUUGUACGGAAUAGCUUUUGGAAACGAAAGGUAAUACCGUAUACGCCCUUUUGGGGGAAAGAUUUAUCGCAGAGAGAUCGGCCCGCGUCUGAUUAGCUAGUUGGUGAGGUAAUGGCUCACCAAGGCGACGAUCAGUAGCUGGGCUGAGAGGAUGAUCAGCCACACUGGGACUGAGACACGGCCCAGACUCCUACGGGAGGCAGCAGUGGGGAAUAUUGGACAAUGGGGGCAACCCUGAUCCAGCCAUGCCGCGUGAGUGAUGAAGGCCUUAGGGUUGUAAAGCUCUUUUGUCCGGGAAGAUAAUGACUGUACCGGAAGAAUAAGCCCCGGCUAACUUCGUGCCAGCCGCCGCAGUAA